rnacentral:rRNA from 1 species
UAAUACGAAGGGUGCAAGCGUUGUUCGGAAUUACUGGGCGUAAAGGGCAUGUAGGCGGAUAUAUUAGUCAGGAGUGAAAUCCCGGGGCUCAACCUCGGAACUGCUUCUGAAACGGUAUAUCUAGAGUGUGAUAGGGGACAAUGGAAUACCCAGUGUAGAGGUGAAAUUCGUAGAUAUUGGGUAGAACACCAGAGGCGAAGGCGAUUGUCUGGGUCACAACUGACGCUAAGGUGCGAAAGCGUGGGGAUCAAACAGG